rnacentral:lncRNA from 1 species
ACAACGUACCAACGAAGGAGGCCCAAUGGGCAGGGUUAAUUACGGGCUUAGCCCAAGUUAUCUUACCUAUCUUAGAGUCCAAGUUAUAUUAGAGUCCAAGUUAUCUAGGGUUUAGUGGAGGCUGUCCUCCUAUAUAAACACAUGUACCCCUUCGAUAUUAAGCAGACAAUAAACAGUAUAUUAUGUUGUCGUCUCCCUCAGGAG